CCUCAACUCCAGACCACUUUAUAUGAGGUAUGCCGGCUUCAAAUGGAAAUGAACACAUGAAUCAGAUCAAUGUUGUCAAUCGUAGAUAGGAGAAAAUAGCAGUUCAUUCAAAAUCAGGUAUACAUCAGUGCUAUAGCGGCACGGAACAAUAGUGAUCUGUUCAAAUUUCGCUACAGUAUAGCACUAUAGCCACGACAUAGGCCUGCGAAGCACUGUUGAGAAUAGUGGCGAUAGCAACCAAUAGCGGUUGAAAAGCAGUGCCAUCGUGGCGCAAUGAUACUUAUUUUUUAUUUUAUUAUUUAAUUUGUCGAAGGUAUAUUGGUNNNNNNNNNNNNAAUUUUGAGGGAAAUUCUCAAAAACCACUAUUUUUUAUUUUAUUAUUUAAUUUGUCGAAGGUAUAUUGGUACU
rnacentral:lncRNA from 1 species